UACGUAGGGUGCGAGCGUUGUCCGGAAUUACUGGGCGUAAAGAGCUCGUAGGUGGUUUGUCGCGUUGUUCGUGAAAACUCACAACUCAAUUGUGGGCGUGCGGGCGAUACGGGCAGACUGGAGUACUGCAGGGGAGACUGGAAUUCCUGGUGUAGCGGUGGAAUGCGCAGAUAUCAGGAGGAACACCGGUGGCGAAGGCGGGUUUCUGGGCAGUAACUGACGCUGAGGAGCGAAAGCGUGGGGAGCGAACAGG
rnacentral:rRNA from 1 species